CUCUUAGUAAGCAGCCGAGAGUUGAUCGUCGUGCCAUGGCGGUAAACAAGGCUCAUCAUCUCUCCGCAGCCGCCUCACUGACGCCUUCAUCUGCUCCCCGAUCGGUCAUCACAACGGACACUUUCUGAAACAGCAACCUACAGCGCAUCUCUCCAGAACACCAAGAGGAGGUUCCAGGCGGAAAGGCCAAUCUAUCAGUUUCGCCGGCUCUUUAGUCCACGAUGAGCAAGGCCAGCUAUUGCUUUUUCCAGCCAACAAGACCCUCUUGGCACCAUCUGGAAAUGGGCUUAAGUGUGCACAUUUAAUUCAUAGCCACAGAGUUUGGCCAGGGUUUGGUCCAAGUCUACCAUUAUGAGCACGACGAUAGCUGUGCAAGUCGGGGGCGACAACCGCCGGUGGUAUGGUCAGGUCGCCAGACCUCUUGCUCGUUUGAGGAGGUUGACGUCCAGCAGGACCGCACAGUUGCUUUGCUGUCUGAUAAGACAGAACCAGCCCAAUGCACUCCCUGUUCCUCCCCCAGAAAAAGCAAAUACCCUGUCAUGAUUACUCACAGAACUCUAGCGGGCCAAGAGGUCCCAAAAGAGCAUCUGGACCAUAGCCCAGGCGCCCCCAAACGCCGGUGGUCACCGCCAAAGAACCUCCGCGGACACAAGUAAUCACCGCCGCCGCUGCACACGACCGGCUUGCACCCUAGCUGCAAUCGACGCAAAGAAGUACCAUGGAACUGUCGGAGGGUGGGUAGUCUUUUUUUUCCGGGCUCCGUUCAUCACUACAAGUUGUUCAUUGUUCCUUCACAGUCGGGGCUAGUGCAAACAGUACGGCAACAAUUAGUACUGUACUGUACGCAAUUCGUACACUGUGUCCUCCAACUCCAAGGGUCAUGAUUGUGGGCUAGAUCUGUGGUCUAGAAUGACGAAACGCAAGGGGCGAAAUAAGCAGUAUACAAGCCAGAUCCGUGGUUCCCGCCCGGGAUUACAUCUUGCUCUUGUUCUGCUCUAUGAUUAUUGGGCGGCGGGCACCUCCACCCCAAGCCCUUUUAUGGACAGCAGAGAAAGAAAAAAAGAAGCAGUUAUUGCACACUAAAGCGGCAAACAUUCCACUAACCCCGCUGUUUAGGUUGUGUUAAGGCUUAUAGCUUUGACCACGAGCUAACCACCCCGUACUUCGGAGUCAGAGGAAUCGUUGUCGAAGUCAUGGUUCGGUAAGGAACAAGUAAUACCAGUGGGAAACUCCUCGGAACCCCUCGGAAACCCUCGGAAACCCUCGAUAAGCACUCUGCAAACCGCCAACUGACCUUGAUGCUAUAGGCAAGUACAGAAUAGCGACUAAUGUACGAAUGCAUACAGAACCUCUCCUGACAUGCAUCGUGCUCGGACUAGCUUGGAGACUGCGGAAAGUUGGCCCAGGUUCAACAAAAGGCGAUAAACACAAGCCUCUGCGGUCACGUGAACGCCCUAACUUAUCAUACUGUCUGCACAACAAGUUGGGUUAAUGUUCCAUACUAUGCGCAUAGAGGUUUGAGCGAGAGUUUUAGUCGUGAGCAGGUUAGGACAGAAUCGGAUCUAAACGAUAUAUUUUUGAGAGAUUUGGAGAUUUUCAUCAGGCCAUUCUCGCUUCUUCGACUCCCAUGUUGGCGUAUACGGCUCUGUUAGCUUGGGAUACAAGACUACUGCUACACGCUACUGUACGGUAUUGCAAACUACAAAGGUACCCCGUAUUUGACGCAAAAAAAACAGGGUAAAGACAUGCAAUGACGUAUUUGGCAUGCCUCGGUUCGCACAGUCAAUCCCCGAGCCCAACCACCGCCUUAGGGAGGAGCAGCAUCCACCUUGAAUGUAUCGUACACUGUACUGCACAUAAAUGG
rnacentral:misc_RNA from 1 species